AGUAAAAUAAGCUAAAAAAGCUUUUGGGCCCAUACCCCAAAAAUGUCGGUUAACCCCUCUUUUACUA
rnacentral:tRNA from 1 species